rnacentral:rRNA from 1 species
GGUUUUGUUUUUGGGAGCUCACUGGCUUCGGAGUCGUAGGAACUCCGAAGUUAAGCGAGUUGGGGGCUAGAGCAAUCCCAAGAUGGGUGACCCACUGGGAACCUCCUAGAAACAAAACCG